rnacentral:rRNA from 1 species
UACGUAGGGGGCAAGCGUUGUCCGGAUUUAUUGGGCGUAAAGCGCGUGUAGGCGGCUUUGCAAGUCGGGUGUGAAAGCCCUCAGCUUAACUGAGGAAGUGCGCCCGAAACUGCUUGGCUUGAGUACCGGAGAGGAUGGUGGAAUUCCCGAAGUAGAGGUGAAAUUCGUAGAUAUCGGGGGGAACACCGGUGGCGAAGGCGACCAUCUGGACGGAUACUGACGCUGAGACGCGAAAGCGUGGGUAGCAAACAGG